rnacentral:sRNA from 1 species
GAUGUGGAUGAAGAAUGAAAAGGCCAGUGAAUUUGAGAAACAAUAUUCAAAUGAAGCUAACGCCUCAAAAGACAUGUCAGCUGUGACUUUAACUUUCACGUGCCUUUUAGUAACAGCAUCGCUACUCUAGGAAUAUAGACAGUGAAAACAUAAUUUAGGGACUAUUUUACGAACUUUAGACUACUUUUGUUCAAAAUAAUGAUAAUAUAAUUAAACGCUGUCAAGUGUAUAUCCUACCACGUUUGUAAUUUUCACUGUAGAUAUAGUAUAACACACUGAGCACAUUGAAACAUAACAUGACAUGAAUGGACAUGAAUUAAACUAUUUACCACAAUCUGCAA